GGUGUGGAUGGCUUUAGUUGUUAAUCUCUGCAAAUUCCCACUGACCUCUCAUCCGUGCGUGGUUCUCUUCCUUACAGCUGGUUCAGCCUGCCUCCCCUAUCCACCCUUUUGCAGCAACCAGAAGAUUUCUAAAGCCAUUUCCUCACGCCGGCUGCCUGCGGGGGAGACCCUGGAGCUCCAUCUUCUGGUCAGCCUGAGACGAAGCUGCUGGGCCCGGCUUGGGUCCCAGGAGAGCUGGAGGAUGGCCACGGCAGGUUUCUGGCAGCCCCUGGCUUUGUGGGCAGGACGGCAGCCCCUGGAACCUGGCAGAGCCCUGCAGGGAGAAGCCGAAACACUUCAGGCUGGAGUUUCACCUUGAUCUCCCGUACUCAGCAACCCAACUUUCUGUUUGGAUUUCAAAGCCACAGCAUUAAUUAUUUCUUCUGGACUACUUCUCCAAGGCCAGGGUAAAUGCAGCCAGCAUUGGCAAGUAAGCUAGAGGGAAGGAGGUGACCUCAAUGCAAUUAAAGGAAAUAUGGAUCCCAAAUUCCAGUGAAUCCUAGAAAAGUUUAAGUUACUCGGUAGGCCACAUAAUCCAACCUCCUGUUCAAACCAGAGCCAACUCCAAAGCUGCAUUGCAGUCCCAAGGUUGCUCCAGCUGAGUGUUGAACAUCUCCAGGGUUGGAGACACCCUGUCUCGCCCAGGCUCCAGUUCCAGCACGAGACCCUCUCACUGAGGUGUCUGGUUUGGGGUUGAAAGUUUCUCUGAUGUAGCUUGUGACUGUUACCUCGGACCUUUUCCCUGUACAUCUCUGAGAAGUCUGCCUCUGGCUUCUCUACUGCCCACCAUCAAUUUGCUGGUGAAGUUCAGAAAGCAAUUCUUCCUUCAAAUGAAAGGGAUGGCACCAGAGGAGUUGCAGUAGCUAGGGUAACGAUUGUAUCAUCAACGUAAUUUUUUUUUUCUUUAUGUAGACAAUAACUCCACUUCCACUCACCAGCCUGGGAGGACUAAAACUCAUCCACGUAGAGUGCUGACCUUGAUCUGGGUCUAGAAAAUCCUCUUGCACUGCUGUGACUUGAGCACUUCAGAUACUUACCAGGCUGACCUGCAGGAGAAAUUAGGGUGCAAAUGGGAGCCCAUGCUUAUAAUGCAUUUAAUUUACAAUAGGUGCACACAGUAUUUAUAUCGGGGAUAUUAUUCUGAUUUAACGUGAUCAAGUUAUCUUACAUCAAGUAUUUGCAGAAACAGAAGUUAAAUAUCUGCAGUUAUGUCUGAAGGCCAAAUGAUGGGAGGCUUUUGCAAAGAGUUCAUGAACUGUGUUUGUGCAAAAAUCCAGUACUGAACAAGUGCUGGACACAUUCAAAAAUUUGACCUGUGUGGACACUAUACCACAAGAUUUUCCUUUCAAAGAAGGGAAGAAAAAGAAAAAAGGGAAACAGGUCUUUACAAACACCAUCACACCUCGAAGUUGUCAGGAAGCUAUUGAAAGCUCUAGGUCCUAACAAGACCCACAACAAGUUCAUCCAGGAACUGAGACACAAAGCCCAUUCUCUCUUUUUCGUUAACAAGAUACAAGGAGUAGACUUUCCUUCCUCCUAAUUUUCAACAACAAAUCAGAAGCAGCUAAGCUGGUCAAGUUUCACCAAAACACAUCCUGGUUUAACAAACCAUUCCUUUAAUGCUCGGCCUCUCCUAUGGCAAACUGCGAAUAUAACAUGCCUGAGCAGCUGAGCAGAAAAAGUGGAGCAACCUUUUUAGACCCAUUUGAAAAGUAGGUCUGUGUCCUGCAGAAAUCUUGUCUUUUGUCUAUUUUGCUCAGCAUUGAAGGAAAUGUAUGUGAGUGGCCCCAGCAUAGGGUAUGACCUGUAAGCAUAACCUUGCUGUGGAUGUUAUUAAUAAAAUGUUCUCAUUUUCCCA
rnacentral:lncRNA from 1 species